rfam:Ictidomys tridecemlineatus contig022707, whole genome shotgun sequence.
GGGGUUGUGGCUCAGUGGUAGAGCACUUGCCUGGCAUGUGUGAGGCCCUGGGUUCAAUCCUCAGCACCA